rnacentral:rRNA from 1 species
CCCUUAGAUGUCCUGGGCCGCACGCGUGCUACACUGACGCAUACAGCGAGUACUCCCGGCUCCGCAAUGGCAGCUGGUAAUCAUCAAUAUGCGUCGUGAUGGGGAUAGAUCUCUGGAAUUUUUGAUCUUGAACGAGGAAUGCCUAGUAAGCGCAGGUCAUCAGCCUGCGUUGAUUAAGUCCCUGCCCUUUGUACACACCGCCCGUCGCUCCUACCGAUUGAGUGGUCCGGUGAGGCUUUGGGAUCUGAGCGGAAAGAGCGUUUCGCUGUUUCUGCUCGGAAAACUCAGUCGAACCUUAUCAUUUAGAGGAAGGAGAAGUCGUAACA